UCCCGAGUAGCUCAGUGGUAGAGCAACCGGCUGUUAACCGGUGGGUCGUCGGUUCGAAACCGACCUCGGGAGCCA
rnacentral:tRNA from 1 species